UUCAGCCUUUCAUGGACAUGAAAACAAGAAAAAUCAACCUCAAUAUCUCUUUAUUGAGGUUUGUGUAAAGAUAAACACCAAUAGCCCGCCCCGCGGCCAGAGCCUCCUCAGGCCACCGCUGGGCCCCAGGCUGGAAGCCCGGGGGCGGUGCGCGCAGAAGGAAGUGCCUCCAGCCACCGCCCGGGAACGUCCCAGAGGCCGAGUCGGGAGCGCCGGCCGCGUGGUCCCCUCGCGCCCCUCUUUGGCAGUUGUGCACGUCUUGCUCCCAGCCCCGGCUGCCGCGCGUUGCCGCCCCUUCCGGAGGCCCGGGCCGCGCUCCUCGCCGGGCUCGGGCCCCGCCGCGCCCCCUCCACGCCCCCGGCGAGCAGCGGUCCCCGCCAGCCGGUAUCCUGAGCCCUCUGCCCGCGCCCGGGGCUGCCGAGGAAUUUGGGGCGAGGCGGGCCAGGGAUGCGCCAUGGCCUUGGCCCGGCUGGGCUCGUGGCUCUGGGAGGUGCCGUGGUUCGCGCCGGUGUCGCUCUUCGUCGCGGCCCUGGUCACGGUGGGCCUGUACCUGGCGCAGUGGGCGCUGGCCAGGGCGCGACCCCAGCCCUGGCGGCGGGAGCUGGAGCCUGGCCAGGGGCCGCGCCCUGGGUCCCACGCGCUGCUCUCCUAGAGCCUGACGCUGAGCAGCUGGAGGAGCCAGAGGUAUGUGGCCUGGGUGACCACCCUGAAUGAGGAGGCGGAGAGGAAAGGCGGCCCACCUUUCCUGUCCUUCAAGGAGGACCCGCGGCAGCAGCCCCUGGAGCUGGCGGUGGAGGCGGUCUCCAGUGUGCUCAGCUGGAGUUCCGCCUGAAAGAGGAGAGAGGACCUCCAGAUUAACUGGUCCUUCAUGAGUGUGCCGGAAAUGGCCAUUACUAUCCAGCCCAAAGAACGGGGAGGACCAGGUGGCCGAGACGUGCACGGUGUCAGACACUCUGAAGGAGCUCUUGAAGCAUUUGGUUUGUUCUGCCUCUCCAUCAGUGCUUCUGAUCACCAAGCCCACGAAUGUACAGGAAGCUCAGAGCUUAGAGAGUGCUCAGUCUACUGCUCAGGAGUCCUGUCUUCCCAAACCUUCGAGGGCUCAUGAGCUAAAGCUGCUGGUGAGGAGUAUCCGCGCCUUCCUGCUCAGCAAGCCUGAUGCUGCAGGCCACAUUAACACAGAGUGUGUCGUGCAGCUGAACGAUCCUCUUCAGAGGUUCUCCAGCACCCUGAAGAAAAACACUACGGACCUCACGUGGAAAGAGGAAUUCACCUUCCAGUUGAAUGCCAAGUCGAAGGAGUUACACCUGCAGAUUUCAGAGGCUUGGCGAUCCUCAGAAGGUCUGCUGGCGAUGGCGACAGUUCCUUUGGAUUUAUUUAAGAAGCAGCCUUCUGGACCACAGAGCUUCAUGCUGAUCAGUGGGUCUGCCUGCGACUGCUCAGUGCUGGGAUCCAUCACGUCAGAGUUUUCUUUUUUCUUUUUUUUGUUUUUUUGUUUUUUAAUCUUUUAUUGCAUUUUAGGUUUGGGGGUACAUGUGCAGAGCAUGCAAGACAGUUGCAUAGGUACACACAUGGCAGUGUGUUUUGCUUUCUUUCUCCCCUUUUCUUAUGUGGAACCUGGUGAAUUGAAAUCCUCACCCAUCCCUCCUCUGUUCCUGCUGCAAGAAUAGGAAAGGACCACAAGGUGAUGCCCUGUGGGACUGUGGUCACUACUGUCACCACUGUGAAGACCAAGCCUUGCGUCGACAUGGGGAGGGUGUCCCCGCUGAGCUCUGAGUCUCCAGUGAAGACUCCUGUCAAGGUGAAGGUGCUCGAGAAGGACACCUCUGUCCAGGCCAUCUCCUGCAGCAGUGCACCCAUCAGCAAAACUCUCUCUUCUUCAGACACAGAAUUGUUGGUGUUGAGUGGUUUGGAUCCAGUGGCUGCAGUUGCCAUUCGGCAACUCAGCGAAUCUUCAAAGCUGAAACUCAAGUCGUCACGGAAGAAAAGCACUAGUAUCAUAUCAGGGAUCUCCAAGACCUCACUGUCCCAGGACCACGAUGCUGCCCUGAUGCAGGACUGUGCAGCCUCCGUGGACAGCGCACACCAGAAGGACGCCCUGUCCCAUCCAGAGGCAGACACAGCCUCUGCCCCGCCGGAGGAAGCCGAGUCAGCCCAGGCACCCUCUGCCCCUAAUCCCCUGGAGGACGACCCAGACUCCUGGGUCUUGGAAAAGGAGCCCCAGGAUGUGGCCUGGCCCUGCUGGACCCCGACGGUGAUGAGCUGUCAGAGAGUUCCAUGAGUGUCUCAGAGCCGGGUCCUGCCAAAAAGCAUAAAGGAGGAAUUCUAAGGAAAGGUGCAAAGCUGUUCUUCUGCCAGCGGCAUCAACAGAAAGACCCAUACAUGAGUCAGUCACAUAAUGACCUUGUGUUCCUGGAGCAGCCAGAGGGUUCCCGGAGGAAAGGGGUCACUAUCACCAAGAUCCUGAACAAGAAGCUGCUCUCCAGGCACAGAAACAAGAAUACCAUGAAUGGUGCCCCUGUUGAGCCUUGCACUAGGGGCUGAGGUCACGACCACCAAGCCAGAAGACCUGCCCCUGCAUUACCACCCUCACCAGGACACAGCAAGCAUGUCCGCCAGAUGUCCAGAUGCCCCGCUUGUCUUGCUGGGUUUCUUCCAACCAUCUAGUCUUUUAAAGGGAAAACAAAAUCUGAGGCUCCAGCCAGGCUUUCCCCAAAGAGGGCGAAAAAGCCUAACUUGCCACCAGAUGCCAAAUGAGACUUGACAACUCCAGAGCUUGGGCCGUGCUCAAAGCUAAGAGUCAGGGCUAAAUAUUAGAAGGAGAUUAACAUAAUAAGAAAAAUAAUGUACUCUAAUGGAUCGUGGAGGGCAGGUUUGAGGGACUCCGUUUACCUAUUCUACACACUAACAAGUGUUGUUUUGGGCCCAUGCCUGGACCAUGUCACAAAAAGGAGGCGCCCUUCUGUGCUGUCACUGUGAAUGGAAUGGGUUGGUCAUCUCUCCUUAUCUGCUGCUUGGACUAAAACAUGCAGCUGGCCCUGAGUACAGGGAAGUAAAACAUAGGCAGGAUUUUUAUAAAUAGAGAAAUUAUGAUAGAAAUGGGAAAGCAGUUGCAAAUGUAAGAAGACAUCUGCCUUCGGUAUUAGCCAUAGAACUUGAACUCUAUAUCCUAUGCCUAGUAUGCCGGAUACUUUUCUAAGUUUACUUUGAGCCUACUUGCAAGUGUAAGAUAUAUAUAUUCUCACGUGCUUUUUACAUUUUUCUCUAUUGUGUUAAAAGCUCUAAUAAUACUAGUGGAGCCAUUGACAGCCAGGUUUUUUUUCCUGCCUGUUAUACUUGCUAAACAAGAGCACAGCAGGCCUGUCGGAUGAAGUUGGGAGCCAUAUGUGACCGCUCGUAGAAUAUGGUAACCAGAGACAUGGAUUUUGCCAAAUGCUGCCAGUAGGCAAAACAAAGUCUUUUUAGGGCAGUAGAGGAAAUUAUUUUGUGUCUCACGUGUCAGUCUUAGGAAUGGAAGUUUAAAUGGGCUAAACUUGCAGGAAAUUUCUUCUAGGAGAAUUUUGCUGUCAACAGUGCUCUUGGACACAGUUUGGGGAGCCCUUGUUUGGGUUUGUUUUGGUGGAAAACGUGAUGAACCUGGCACACCGUUUUAAUAUCCCCAGGUAUCAUUCUAGUCGCUUUCCUCGUCAGCUGCCUUUCUACUUCAGUUCAUUCACAGUUUGCACUUUGGUCUGCUCCUUCUGAAUGUGCCCCUUCCAGUAGACCUGCUGGUGAACAAGCAGUCAUCAUUGGGUGAAGUGUUUCGACAGUUUAAUGUGAUUCCCUUUUCUCCAAAGAGAUGUAAAAGGCUGUUAUGAACACUUGAUUUCAGUCCUGGAGAUGGAGAUGGGUGAGCUUCCUUCCAUAGGCAUUCUUUAAUCCUUAAACAUUAAAUAUUUCAGAGGUCACAGAGACGCUGGUGAGUAGAAACCUAUAUAAAGACCAAAAUUACAGGAUUUGUUUUUUGUUGUUGUUCUUUAGGGGGAGAGAUUAGAACAUUCCAUUAGGAAUUUCACUUUAAGAUGCACAUUACAUACUUCUUCAGUGUUCCAGGAAUUAUCGAAUGACUUUAAAAUGACUUUUACAACCUGCUUUGUUUUUAAAAAUUAUAUUCCAAUUUUAAUCAUUGUUGUUAAAAAAAGCACUUGGAGUUGCAAAAUAUAUGAGUACUACCCAGUUGCUGUCCCCAGAGUCGGGCACCACAGCUAGUCUUUUGGGGCAGAUGCACUUGAAUGUUUUACUUGAGGUUUUCCUGGUCUUGGCCAUAUGGUAAAAAGAGCCUGAGACAUAGAAGAAUUCCAGGAGAAUAUUAUGUGUCAGAAUUUCAGACACUGAUGAGAAGUUUUUAAUUGUUCUUUUUGUUUGGUUUUGGAAUUCAGGUGCACUCUACUCAAGUAUGAGGAUAUCAGAAGCUAUUUUUAUUAAAAAAAAAUGUUUUUUGGAGAUGGGGUUUCACUCUGUUGCCCAGGCUUGAGUGCAAUGGUGGUUCACUGCCACCUCCCAGGUUUAAGCGAUUCUCCUGCCUCAGCCUCCCAAGUAGCUGGGAUUACAGGCCUGCACCACCACACCUGGCUGAUUUAUUUGUAUUUAGUAGAGAUGGAGUUUCAACAAGUUGGUUAGGCUGGUCUUGAACUCCUGACCUCAGGUGAUCCACCCGCCUCAGCCUCCAAAAGUGCUGUGAUUAUGGCCAUGAGCCACUGUGCCAGGCCCAGAAUUUUAGAUUAAGCCUUCUUGCUCCUCCUCAAAAAAGUUUUUAACCAUCCUAUUUCCAGAUGAAUCCCAUGAGCACUGCUUACUGUUGAAUACCUAAGUCUGGGGCUCUGCUACCCACAGGCACACUCACAUGGUCUCCAUGCUCACGUGAUCUCCAUCCAGUGACCUUUUCUGAAGUCACAGGAAACACCAAUGUAGCAGGGAGCCAAUGAAGCAAUGGCCACAAAAACACAUAGGCUAGCUUCAGGGUAGCACCAUGAGACAACGGGUUCUGUUGAUACUGUGAAUGUUUCCUUUUCAAGCUAUUCUAUACAGGUUUGUUUUUCCAUGGUGUAGGGUAUUUAUGAUAAAGUAAAUGUCGUGAAGGUUAAAGAUCAAUUAACAUGAUUCACCAAAUACUUAAAAUGCUGAUGUGUAAAUCACCUUUAUCGCUUCACUUCUACUACAAGCUUCUGUGGCUUGAGGGCUUUUGUUUUUGGUGUUUGUCUGGAUGAAAGUUUUGUCGAGUGGGGUUUUAAAGGCGAUUUCUUGUGAACACUAAGAUUAAUUGUGUCUGUAUCCCUGGAACUGGGUGCUCAUGUUGGUUUUAAUGAGCUAGCAGCCCUUCCCAGUUUGCUUUGUUUAAGGAGGUGUCUCUGUUCUUUGUGGAGGAAUGAAAUGGAGCUUUGUGUGUGUGGUGUGUCUGUCUGCACACACGUGUGUGUUAUUGUAGCAAUAACAAAAUUAGCCAUCUCCUUGUUCCUAGUUGAAAACCUGACAUGAGAGUUUUGACGGAGCAUUUUAUUUUAACCAAGUUUCAAGUCUGAGUUCAAAACCAGCGCUGAUCCCUUAUGACAGCUACUCUACCAGCUGCCACUCAAUGACAAAUUUGUGCCAUUUGGAUUUUUUCUUGGGUUUUACUGGCCACAUCUAUAGAUGAGAGUUGCAAAGUUUCUUUGAGCAGAGAGGGAAAGAUCAAUUUACAUUGGUGGCCACCAAAGGUGGGUGUUUCCUGGGUAAUAGUCUCACGACUCUUAAUCUGGAAACUUCUGAGUACAAAUUGAUGGACAGUGAAAAUCAGGACAUUUAUCUCUGUCAGAUGAAAACAGACCUCCAGACUGACAUAAACCCUGCUGCUAGGCCCUCUCUCCACUGCCCCAAACUGACCCAGACACGAUGACCAAAGCAUCCUGCACGGGGCAAGGCAUCUGCAGAAUCCUGCGGGGCAAACUCAGGUUACCUUGGGCCCAUGACCAUUUGCAUUCGAAACACAGUCCGCUGCCCUGUUUCCUCAGCUAGGAGCGGGGCAGUAAUGCACCACUCAUCAUUUAGGCUUCUGGUUUGUUGUUUACUCUAACAAUGUUAUGUCAAAACUGCAUUUUAAAGAAAAAGAAGAAAAUGGCAGGUUUUCCAGGUCCGUGAAAAGGUUUGGCCUGACGCUGAAGUGCAGUGAUGAACUUUCCUGACAGUGAUUGUAUUCCUCAGUAACACUUUAAACACCGAAGACAGCCCUGUACCUCGCCUGUGCACAGGCUGGGUGGGUUCCUUCGGAGAAGAUGUCGCUGGAACACAAACAAUCUUUGAAAUAAAUAAAUGCGCACAUGGAAAAAAAAAGAUAAACACCAAUAAAGACAGAUCUUCUGGAAAAUUAUUUUUUUUUUCUUUGAGACUGAGUCUCUGUGACUCAGGCUGGAGUGCAGUGGAGAGAUCAUAGCUCACUGUAGACUCAAUCUCCUGACAUCAAGCAAUCUUUCUGCCUGGACCUCCCACACUGCUGGGAUUACAGUCUUGAGCCAUGGAGCUCAACCUGGAAAACAUUUUUUAAAAUAUAGAAUUUAGUGUGUCACAGAACUCAAGAUAUUCCAAGAAUGAUUUGUGUUUCUCAUACUUCUGUUGACUGUUUAAUGGUAGAUAUGCUGAUCAUGCAGAACACCUCAGACAUAAUUAGAUGUAAUUAGGGUGAAACUAGUGUGAACCCCCUUAUGAGAAGUCCAAAUCUGUGAUUCUCAUACAACAUACAAAACUUUCUCAUUUAAGAUGUCAGAAUAAAGAGUGAACCAUAUAUAUACAUAUAUAUAUGUGUGUACAUAUAUAUACAUAUAUGUAUAUAUGUGGUUCCCACUUCUUGUUCAACAAUACGAUGACCUCAGAACAAUUCAGUCUUAUACCCUGUAGGAAUUUUUCUUUCUUUAUACAGUCAGCAUAAGGGAAGUGACAGGUCUCAGAGGAAAAUUGUAUCUUGUUCUCUGAUUGAUUCUCCAGGGUCCAGUUUGGUGAAGGCAACAGGGGUAGGGACCUGAAGAUUGGUCAUGAUGGGGUGAGAGCUGAAGAAGUAACCUAUCAUGCAUUGAGUGGAGCAUGAGGGCAAGUGCUGGGUUUUUAAUUUUUUUGUGUGCGAGGGGCACAGGAUGUUGCUCUGUCACCCUGUAGUACAGUGGUGCAAUCACGAUUCACUGUGACCUGGAAGUCCUGAGCUCAAGAGAUCCUCCAGCUUCAGCCUUCCAAAUAUCUAGGACUGCAGACACACAUUACCAGGCCCAGCUAAUUUUUUAAAAUUAUUGUUUUUGUAGAAAUGUUGUCUCACUCUAUAGGCCACGCUGGUUUGGAACUCCUGGUUUUAUCCUCCUUCCUUGACCUCCCAAAGUGCUGAGAUGACAGCCAUGGCUCCCAGCCAGUCUUUUGUUAUUUGUAAUGAGCCCCUUUGGAACCACUGGAUUUAUGUUAAUGAGGUGGGUUGAGGUGGGGCCCUGGGGUAGCCUCAGGAUAGGGCUGCUCAGUGGAAGACCAAGUGAUUAGUACUUUCAGCAGAAUGGGGGUGAGGGGACCUGGAAAAUAAACUUCAUACAAACUCUUAAAGAAUGUCAUAAGAGGAGUGGAGAUUCAUGAACACUUUGAAGUGCCGGGAGGGUGGACAACCCAGAGAGGGAAUGGACCUAUAUUUAUAUAUUUAAGGUGAUACUUACACUGUAAUUAAACUUUUAAAUGGUUCCUUUAGUAUUUUAUUUUAAGAUAGAGAUACAAUAAUAAGAUGUAUGAUUACUGCAUUAAAAUGAUUUGGGGAAAGUAGAAAGAGCAUGAUCUUGAUAAAAUUGACCAUAAUAAUUAUUGAAACUGUGUAAUGGAUCCAAGGGGGUUGCAGGAAUCUAUUACACAAUUAUGUCUCUCUUUCUGCAUGCUGGGGCUUUUUCAUAUUAUCUCAAAAAUUAAACUGAGACCAUACAGCAUCCUAUGUAUUAUUGUGUCAGUCCCGCAUGGGAAAAAUUGAACACUGAUCAAAGUUAGUCCAGAUAUGAAGACUGAUGAUGCCGCACACCCAUACACACUAGAAUGAUAGAAACAGGUGUGUUUGUCACAUGCUGGGGUGUGGCAGGAGAGCACAGAGGCCGGUCUGUGGUGUGAAAAUGGACAAUGAGAGCAGAGAAAGAUGACAGGCUGGCUGUUUUUCUUGAGGUUGAGGUGUGGUCAGGGUGAAGGAUCACUUGCUCAGGAUGAAAUUGUGUGGUUGGAAUCUCUUUCCUGCACUGAAGGUGGGAGUACCUGGGCUUUCUUAGCAGAUUGCCCAGAUGUGCAGUCAAAGAAAAGAAUGAAGGAGUGAGGAUUAAAUGUUUUCAAGAGUGAAAAACUAUACAAAUAGAUUUCAACUAUUUAUUUUGGAUCCUUUCCACCCCAAUGUUUAACAGUUGAUUAGAUGCACUAUGUUUUAUUUUGUUAAAUUUGAACUUGUUUGAGUAAGCCUUCUUGGUGCUCAGUGAUGCUGACAGCUUAAUCUAGUAAGGGAAGUACAGUUCCAUUGAAUGCAUUCCCUAGGAACCCAGCAUUGCAUAUUCUGGGAAGUGAAAUGAGUCCUUGGUCCCUCUCAAUAAUGGCUAGAACUACAAAGGAGUUCCAAAUCCUGCUGUGGCUUUGUAUUUUGGCUUUAGUGUAUGUAGAGAAAUGUAUGACCUGGAUUUAGAUUUUGAAUAUUAGUGAGGCAAGAAGUAUUUACUCUGAGUCAGGUAACUCUGAGGUCAUGGACCCAUAGUUCGCAAAACUGUGCAUAUUGGGCCGACUGUUGGCCAGGGGCUCCAGUUCUGAGAAGUUUCAUCCAUUCAUUGACCCUGGAGUCCUGUUGCUUAUUAAGAAUGUCCUGAUUAAUCAAUAAAAAGUAGUAAACCUCUACUGAGCUCAUCACACAUGACAAUGGUUAUGUCAUCUUUGUUUAGAAGACUCUACCCCUACCGUGAAAGCUCUCUUUCCCUCUCCCCACAAAGAGGCUCCCUUAUCUCUCACUCUACAUACCGCCCUAGCCCUCCCGCCGCCGCAGCCACCUCCCACCCGGCUUCUGCCUCAUCAGCACUCCCCAGCUUCCCGCCGCCCGGCUUCCCGCCGCCCAGCUUCCCGCCCAGCGGUUCAA